UAAAUCACGCUCCUUUUGUAAUCCCUGUUCUAAACCCUAGCCUCUCCAUCCUUCCUCUUUCGCCGCCGCUUCUCAUCGUGCCAUGAAAAUAUGCCCGGAAUUAGGUUAAGGAUGCGACUUUUGACCAGAAUCCUCUUCAGCAUCAAGUCAAUAUAGUUAUGCUAUUGUUAAGGAAAAUAUGAUAUCCACUCAAUCACCAGAUGCCAAAAUCAUCAAAGAAGGGCAGUUUGUAAUUAGGGCUCGAAACCUUCGAGCGGCUACUGGGUUUAUUCCGCUUAAGAACACGGAUAAGAACAACGUCAACCGCUUCAUCACUCUGACGGACCUUGGAAUUGCAAAGCUCAUAAUUAACAUCAGACCCGGGGCUGUGAAAAUUGUUGUUGAAUAGUUUAAAAGUAUUUGAUUAUUGGUUAAUAAACAUCAGACAUCUUAUGAGUGCGGAGAAACACUUAAGCGGAGUUCAAUCCAAACUAUAAUAUAGCUUUACUCUGUUUGUAGCGUGCCUUAAGAAUCGCAAACGAUGCUCAACAAAUGGCGAAUGUGACAAAAGGUAACAACUGGUCAAUCAUCCUCUUUAUCGAGAUUUUACAAGUACCUAUACUUCUUCGAUAAGGGAAACACCAAAUCACGGAUUCUUUAAUUCAUGGACUUAUUGAAUUAGUUACAACUGAAAUACAAAGCGACACCGCCACAUCAGAUCUAGCUACUUAUGCUUUUUUUCAGUACGGUCCGCUAUAUCCAGCCGCAAAAGGCCAAGGGCGGAGCCAAUGCAGAGAAAUUCGAGUAGAUCAAAUUGAAUGUCAUUCCAAAUUUUGUUAGGGAUGCUCACACAAAGAAAGAGGUUUUGCAAGAUGGGAGACACAAGCAUAUCAGCACUCAGAGAUAGGGGAGUCCAUUACGUUAAACGCAAGUGGAUUCCAGAAAUAGGGAGAAUGAAACCCAUUACCAACUGAUUGACAAACAGGUUGCUUUUAAUCAAAAAGUUAAGGCCACAAGUGUGACAUUAGGAGGUGACAUAUAUUAACCAAGUUGACUUUUGACUGGUGGUUCUCGCAAUGAAAUGGCAAAAAGGAUCGAGCAUAAUAUUUCAAAUACAUGAGAGGUGAAGGCAUUUGGUCUUUUAUCUGAGGAGGAAAUUGCUAAGGGGAUAGAGUUACUGCUGUAACAACAUAAUAUGCUUUUGAAGAUAUUACGAAGGCGUCUGAGCUUUAGAUGGAAGUUGAUCGGGCAUCCAAGUUGGAAGGAAGCUUCUUGAACAGAAAGUGACUGCUUUGAAUGGUCAAGUAGAAUUUGCCACUAUUCCAACAACAAAGAAGCCCGAUCUCAAGGCAAAAUUCUCCACCCUUCAGCUGUAUGGAGAAUGGUUGUGGAUUGUGGUGUUUGGAGGAUGACGAGUCAAGGAACCCGGGUCAACUCAGUCAACUAAGCCGACUUGGUCAACACAGUCAAUGAGUUAAACACUUGGCAAAUAUACAGAUAGAGUUUUGGGAGAGGUAUAGCGCCUUUGUAAUACAACUUCAGGUAAACCUGUUUAAAAAAUCACCAUGAUGUUUCUGAAGGUGAAAGCAUACAUUCUUGGUAAACAGAGAAAGCGUAGUCAGUUAGUUGAAUUUGGAAAAAGGUAUACCUUCUUUUCGUUAUUUUCAUGCUUUUGAGACUAAUUUUAGGUUGAAUUUUUCCUUUUUUAGCCAAGUAGUUAUCUUCACUUUCCUAUAAAUACUUUGAGCUUGACAUGAGUUUGUGGUUCAACAUGUGACCUUAUAUGUUUACACAGUUAAUUGCAAUUUUCAUAUCAUUAGAUGUCUAGAAAGCUUUGUUCAUUUGUGUUAAAGGGAUCUUACUCGAAAUGAAGAAAAUAAAAAUUAAAUAAGAGGUGCCAAUUUUGUAUAUAAAUGAGACAGAAUGAUGGAUAAAUUUAUUUGUUUAUUGAUUAAAGAUGAUUUAUAGUUUGGUUCAACUCAAUUGAAAGGGAUGUGGAUUAUUUGUUUCAUCUGGGCAUAUUGGAUCAAUUAAAAUCGCGGUUACAAGUUGAAACCAACAUCGUUUACUGGUGUCAUGUAUGUGGAAAAUGAAGAAGCAGUUUAGAAGGUUGUGGCUGCUAUUAAUUCAAUUGUUGUUGGGGCUGACUCUUUAAGUUAUGUCUGCUUUGGACUU